rnacentral:rRNA from 1 species
UACGUAGGGUGCAAGCGUUAAUCGGAAUUACUGGGCGUAAAGCGCACGUAGGCGGCUUUGUAAGUUAGAGGUGAAAGCCUGGUGCUCAACACCAGAAUUGCCUUUAAGACUGCAUCGCUUGAACGUCGGAGAGGUGAGUGGAAUUCCGAGUGUAGAGGUGAAAUUCGUAGAUAUUCGGAAGAACACCAGUGGCGAAGGCGGCUCACUGGACGACUGUUGACGCUGAGGUGCGAAAGCGUGGGGAGCGAACAGG